AGCGCGAGGGGAGGCGCGAGGCUGGGCCGCGCGGAGCCAUGGCGAGAGGCCGCGCUGCGGCGCCCGCGACACGAUCCCCGGCCCCGUCCCUGUCCCCGGCCGCGCCCCCACUCGCCACCCCGGGGCCCACUCGGCCCCCGCCCCCGCGCGCCCCCGGCCCGUGACACGCGCGUGAAGAGCCCCGGAGCAUCCCGGAUCGCCGGGCACCCGCCUACGCUGAGCCUCGCAGUCCCGGGAACGUGAGCCACUGGCGGCCGGGGCCGGGCCGACAACGAAUCGGAGCAGCGACACCGGCCCCGGGACCGCGCCCGCCGCCCCCGCGCCUCCUGCGGAUUCUCUGUGAGCCGCACCUUCUGGUACACUGAAUCUCCCGGGGGGCCAUCCGCCCGACUGCCCCUGACUCCGGCAGCGGGGACCCCCCAUGGCAGUGGGCACCUCCCCUUGAAACCUGCCAAGCUGGACGCCACAGCCCUGCACGACGACACCUCGGCCAGCUCCACGCCCAUCUCUGAGGCUUGCAGCCAUGCGGUCCUCGCCUGCGGCCCGGGCAUCCCUGAAGAGUACUAUGUGAGCGAGGCUGUGGAAGAUGCUCCCAGCUACAGAGAGCACCGGGAUGCCUGCACCAUCACCGACGUGUGCAACAGCACCAACCUUCCAGAAGUUGAGAUCAUUAGCCUGCUGGAGGAACAGCUGCCCCAUUACAAGCUAAGAGCGGACACCAUCUAUGGUUACGACCACGAUGACUGGCUGCAUACGCCCCUCAUCUCCCCAGAUGCCAACAUCGACCUCACAACUGAGCAGAUCGAAGAGACGCUGAAAUACUUCCUUCUAUGUGCCGAAAGAGUUGGCCAGAUGACUAAGACAUACAAUGACAUUGAUGCUGUCACGAGGCUUCUUGAGGAGAAAGAGCGGGAUUUGGAGCUGGCUGCGAGGAUCGGUCAGUCAUUGUUGAAGAAGAACAAGACCCUAACUGAGAGGAAUGAACUGCUGGAAGAGCAGGUGGAGCACAUCCGGGAGGAGGUGUCUCAGCUCCGACAUGAGCUGUCCAUGAAAGACGAGCUGCUUCAAUUCUACACCAGUGCCGCUGAGGAGAGCGAGCCUGAGUCCGUCUGCUCAACCCCGCUGAAGAGGAACGAGUCCUCCUCCUCCGUCCAGAAUUACUUCCACCUGGACUCUCUUCAGAAGAAGCUCAAGGACCUCGAAGAGGAGAACGUUGUACUUCGAUCCGAGGCCUGUCAGCUGAAGACAGAGACCAUCACCUAUGAGGAGAAGGAGCAGCAGCUGGUGAACGACUGCGUGAAGGAGCUGAGGGAUGCCAACGUCCAGAUUGCGAGCAUCUCUGAGGAGCUGGCUAAGAAGACGGAAGAUGCCGCCCGCCAGCAGGAGGAGAUCACCCACCUGCUGUCGCAAAUCGUGGACUUACAGAAGAAGGCAAAAUCUUGCGCGGUGGAAAAUGAAGAGCUUGUCCAGCACCUGGGCGCUGCCAAGGACGCCCAGCGUCAACUCACAGCCGAGCUCCGAGAGCUGGAGGAUAAGUACGCGGAGUGCAUGGAGAUGCUUCAUGAGGCUCAGGAGGAGUUGAAGAACCUGCGGAACAAGACGAUGCCCACGUCCCGGCGCUACCACUCUCUGGGCCUGUUCCCCAUGGACUCGUUGGCUGCAGAAAUCGAGGGAACUAUGCGCAAGGAGCUGCAGCUGGAAGAGCUGGAGUCUCCAGACAUCACCCACCAGAAGCGUGUCUUCGAGACGGUGAGGAACGUCAAUCAAGUGGUCAAGCAGAGAUCACUAACCCCUUCUCCCAUGAACAUCCCGGGCUCCAACCAGUCCUCAGCCAUGAACUCCCUCCUGUCCAGCUGCGUCAGCACCCCUCGCUCCAGCUUCUACGGCAGCGACGUCAGCAACGUGGUCCUCGAUAACAAAACCAACAGCAUCCUCCUGGAGACCGAGGCAGCCGACCUGGGGAACGAGGACCACAAUAAGAAGCCGGGCACUCCAGGCACGCCAGGCUCCCAUGACCUGGAGACGGCACUUAGGCGGCUAUCCCUACGCCGGGAGAACUACCUGUCUGAGCGGAGGUUCUUCGAGGAGGAGCAGGAGAGGAAGCUGCGAGAGCUGGCUGAGAAGGGGGAGCUGCACAGUGGCUCGCUCACGCCCACCGAGAGCAUCAUGUCCCUGGGAACACACUCACGCUUCUCCGAGUUCACGGGCUUCUCUGGCAUGUCCUUCAGCAGCCGCUCCUACCUGCCCGAGAAGCUGCAGAUCGUGAAGCCACUCGAAGGUUCAGCCACGCUUCACCACUGGCAGCAAUUGGCCCAGCCUCAUCUUGGGGGCAUCCUGGACCCCCGUCCUGGUGUGGUCACCAAGGGCUUCCGGACUUUGGAUGUUGACCUGGAUGAAGUGUACUGCCUUAACGACUUUGAGGAAGAUGACACAGGUGACCACAUUUCUCUGGCGGGCCUAGCUACCUCCACGCCAAUUCAGCACCCGGAGACCUCAGGAAGGGAGGCACAGCUGCGUCCCGGCAGUCCGUGGUGACACCGAGAGUUCGAGCACCCAGGCAUCCCAGUGCGCACCACCCUGGGAAGUGCAUGUCACAGACCAACUCAACUUUCACCUUUACCACUUGCCGCAUCCUGCACCCUUCAGACGAGCUCACUCGGGUCACGCCAAGCCUUAACUCUGCCCCAGCUCCGGCUUGUAGCAGUACCAGCCACUUGAAAUCCACACCAGUGGCCACGCCAUGCACCCCCCGGAGACUGAGCCUGGCUGAGUCUUUCACAAAUGUCCGUGAGUCCACGACAACCAUGAGCACGUCCCUGGGGCUGGUAUGGUUGCUGAAGGAGCGAGGCAUCUCGGCGGCCGUGUACGACCCCCAGAGUUGGGACAGAGCCGGCAGGGGCUCCCUCCUCCACUCCUACACCCCUAGGAUGGCUGUGAUCCCGUCCACCCCACCAAACUCCCCUAUGCAGACACCUUCGGCCUCCCCGCCCUCCUUCGAGUUCAAGUGCACGAGCCCUCCCUACAACAACUUCCUGGCUUCCAAGCCGGCCAGCUCUAUCCUGAGGGAGGUGAGGGAAAAGAGGCCCGUGCGGAGCAGCGAGAGCCAAACAGAUGUGUCUGUCUCCAACCUCAACCUUGUGGACAAAGUCAGGAGGUUUGGGGUGGCCAGAGUGGUGAACUCAGGACGUGCCCGUAUCCCCACCUUGACUGAGGAACAGGGACCUCUCCUCUGUGGACCCACAGGGCCAGCACAGGCUCUUGUCCCUGGGGGCCUGGUCCCCGAGGGCCUGCCUCUGGGGUGCCCCAGUGGCAUCCGACGGAAUCGCAGCUUCCCCACUAUGGUCGGGUCCAGCGUGCAGAUGAGAGCCCCCGUGAUCCUCACCUCGGGCAUCUUGAUGGGUGCUAAGCUCCCCAAACAGACUAGCUUGCGGUGAGGCUGGGGAUUGCUGUCCUGUCUGCUUCCUGCCUCCUGUCCCCGACAGAGCACUCACACCCCUGUCUCCUCUGAGGUCCACUCCUUCUGAGUUAGAGAGAUCAAUUGUGUGCCUCUUGGGGGGAGAGUGGAACUCCAUAUGGUGUGUAUACAGGACUUGGGGACCUUGCAUCUGCUCUCUCAUCCAAUCCACAGGAAGUAAUAACCCUACAAGGUCACAAUCUCGUGAGGAUGUCACCUGAGCUCAUUUGGGGGAAGGUGGCGUCCUUUCUUCCUUACUUUAAAGAAGCACUGAAAUUCCCAAGGCUGUUCUUAUCCCAUGGAUAGGAAUCUGGUGAAUUCUGCAUAAGACUGUCAGGGUGCACACAGAGCCGCCGUGUGGCACAGGUCUCCUCGCUCACCUAUGACAGCCGACACACAGGGCUGCUCGCCAUCGGAGAGCUGUCCUUUCAGUUGUAGGUGACCCAGCUUCAUCAAGGUCUGCACUAUCCUGCCCCAAUGGACUGUCUGUUCUCCAGACUUCUUUUCACGUCUCUGACUUGAAGUUACCUUGCAUUUUGUCACAAGCUGUCAGGGUUAGAGCCUGACGCGAAAAGAAUGUAUUUACACUCUGAUGCGCAAUCAGGCGGCCCCUCCGUGUUCUGAGUGAUUGAUUUUUUCUUUUUUUCCUUCCCAUUUCUAAAAUUUUUAUUUGCAGGGAAGUCUCAGUACUGGCAGUUUCUCUUGGUUCUGACACCAAAGUGCAGACGGCACACACGCUAACUCUCUAAUGACAGAGCUUAUUUCUGGGACCCAAUGUCACAGCCAGGGUGAUGUAUGACCAGUUCUCACUGUAACAAUAGGAUCAUGGGGAAGGGGACAGGACUGUUAAACCUAUACACGGUGGAGGGGAAGGGCCGAAGUCACAGCACACCUCAGGGCAUCCUGAGCCAAGGUGUGUCAAGCGUGAUGGCUGCUGGCCCCUUUUCACUCUGAAGGGAGCUCAGGCCACAUCGUAGAGCUCUGUGGUCCUCAGUGGCUGCAGUUUUUAGUCCCCUCAUUUCAAAACUAGAAUUAAAUUUCCUCCUCAUCCCCCAAGUCCAUUGUCCCCUCAUCCCAUUUCUGCCCAUAGGAAAAGAUCAGAGGUGCUUAUGAGUGGAAGAAGUGUGAGCAAGUGAGCGUGGCCUGGGCCUGCUGCUGUCACCUGUGCAGUUAUGAAUUUUUAUUUAUUAUCCAUGUGUGCUGUAUUUUAAUCAGAUGCCGUCUCCGCUUCCAGCUCAAGCCUCUGUGUGUGUGUGUGUGUGUGUGUGAGAGAGAGAGAGAGAGAGAGAGAGAAUCCAGCCCAGGUAUAUUAUUUAUUUACUUUUGUCUGAGGAUGGCUGUAUGUCUGUGUGUCACAUGGUCACCUGCCCCAGACAUCGGUGGAAGGAUAGCAUCCUGUGUACAAGAAAUUGUCACAUGAACAACUCCCCCACCCUCAGCAAAAGAUGUGUCCUUGAAUGGAGGCGGGUCACCUUAUGCCCACCAAGGAUGCUUUGAGAAGGUCCCCAAGCAGCCAGCGUCAGUCCCACGAUUUCAAACUAUUUAUUCUCCAAACAGAGUGCUGGUUCAUCACGUUCUCUGCUCUCCUGGCUGCUGCAAAUACGUGCAGUCACUUACACUUUAUUUGAAUGUAUUUUAAAGCGGUAGGUAGAAGAGGAAAGGAGGGUGACAACUUUGGCUUGGAUGGACCACGUCACGUGUUCAGAGGGGCCUCCCUCCCGUCCACACUGGAAGCGCCAGUGUUAAGAACCGGCACUUUAGAGGUGGUGAUAGGAUUGUUAGCAAACCGGUGAUCAACAUUAAGCAACACUACCAAAAAAAUCGUGUUGUGAUGCGUCAGGAUCAGCCACAAGAUUUCAUUCACUAACGAAUAUCAAUAAAACAAGCUCAAAGAUGGAAA